UACGAAGGGGGCUAGCGUUGCUCGGAAUCACUGGGCGUAAAGGGUGCGUAGGCGGGUCUUUAAGUCAGGGGUGAAAUCCUGGAGCUCAACUCCAGAACUGCCUUUGAUACUGAAGAUCUUGAGUUCGGGGAGAGGUGAGUGGGAACUGCGAGUGUAGAGGGUGAAAUUCGUAGAUAUUCGCAAGAACACCAGUGGGCGAAGGCGGGCUC
rnacentral:rRNA from 1 species